rnacentral:lncRNA from 1 species
UGGAUCCAAUUUUCUUAGUGGGUUGCGGUCUUGACUCGUUCAAUCGAUAUUCAUGCAUGAUCCAAUCGGUCUUAGUACCCUUUGGUGGCCUACCUUUGUAGAACACUAGGGACUUCUUUACUCCAACAUACUUUGACGCGCUAUAGAUUGUUUUAUCCGUCCCUGUGGCCUUCCAAUAGCCCGACACAGCCGCCCUAUUGGGUCGAGCCCCAUUAGGGUAUUUUCUGUCACGAGGAGUAAAGAAAUACCAUUCUUUUUCUCCAGAUUCCGUUUUCUCUACAUGUCACAAGCAACUCCCAAGGAUCAAACUUGUAUAUAUCAACCUCGGGGAUUAUAGACACGGGACAAGGUUUAGACAACGCUUGGUUUCGUAAGUAAAACAUGAUCAAUUCUUCAUCGGUCGGAUGAAACCGAAAGCCCGGAGGCAGAUUAGGGUUAUCCUUUCUCACCAUGUUAACAAAAGUUAUGAAAAAGGGUGCUAGAAAAUAUGUUAAAAGUGUAUAUAAAUGAAGAUACGAGAUGUGAGGAGUUUAGAGAAAAAAAGAAGGGUGAAGAGAAGUGAAUAUGUUU